CAACAAGUAACAAUAACUACUGCAACAGCUUAAUGUACACAAGUAUUUAAUUCGUACAUACAUUUAUACAAGUUAUUUCUUUUAUGUUUUAAAUAAUUUACACCUACAUACAAGACUACUUCUUCCACAAAAUGUAUUUUAUAUUAAUGCUCAGUCUAUAGAGAAUACUACCACCUAGGCCUUCCCAACAGCAAUGGAAUGGUCACUCCAUAUCAAAGAUAGGCCUUCUUUGUUGCAAAAAGAAUAGAUCGUUCCUUAAUGGACAUAAUUAAAAUGCCACAGAACCUUUUUGCUAAAAAUAAACAAGCAGAAUAUACUUUGAUCACUUUUGUAAUAAGCAGUCUUGAUAGAAACCACAGCAAUCUCAUUAUGUAGACAUAAAUUACACAGUUAAAUUCGGUAAACAUGAAUAUAUUUAAUAUGGGAGGAUGGU